UUCCUAGCGGCGGACGGGUGAGUAACACGUGGGCAACCUGCCUCACAAUGGGGGAUAGCCUUCCGAAAGGAAGAUUAAUACCCCAUAACACAAAGGAAACGCAUGUUUCUUUUGCCAAAGAAUUUCGUUGUGAGAUGGGCCCGCGGCGCAUUAGCUUGUUGGUGAGGUAACGGCUCACCAAGGCGACGAUGCGUAGCCGACCUGAGAGGGUGAUCGGCCACAUUGGAACUGAGACACGGUCCAGACUCCUACGGGAGGCAGCAGUGGGGAAUAUUGCACAAUGGAGGAAACUCUGAUGCAGCNACGCCGCGUGAGUGAUGAAGGUCUUCGGAUUGUGAAGCUCUGUCUUCUGGGACGAUAAUGACGGUACCAGAGGAGGAAGCCACGGUUAACUACGUGCCAGC
rnacentral:rRNA from 1 species